AUGCUUCACAUCUGCUGUCAGAUCUGAAACCUCAGAGGAGCUGGUGGAGAAACUGAACCUGAUGAUGUGAUCCUUGUGGAAAGACAAUGUUUUGUCUCUACAUUUGGAAGCUUCUUUCUUGAGAGGGUGGCUUAACUAUCUGCUGGAAAGGCAGUCGUAAAUCAGUUCACUUCACACCUUGCAGAAGAAGAGAGAAGAUGUGUCUCUAGAAGGAAAAGCAAUCAACAGAAGGGGUGGAGAAAAAGUAUAAAUCAGGAUGGUUUAUGUUUCCUUCCACCUUGUAGAUUGCUUUUCCUUCUGUAACCUCCCUCCCUCCUUCUCCCCCUUUCUCUGUCCUUCAGUAAGAAUUUAGCUUACCUCCACUACUUUCUCACAACAUUUGAAUGUGUUAUAAAAGCAAAAGCAUAGUUUAUAGAAUGUUCUGAGUGUUGUGCUAAGUCUCUUCAUUCUGGACAGGGAAAUGCCCAUUUCAGGGGAAAUUUUUGAUCAAUAAUAACUCACAUUGAAAUGAUGCUUUGCUACUGGUCUACAUACCAGUAGCAAAGAGAGCUAGAUGAUCUUUGUUUCUAAAAUGCCUGAAUCCCAGCGAGGUGGAUGUACUGUGUGUGAGUGCAAGACCACACUGAUGGUGUCUUCUGAAGAACUUUGUAGACUUUGUCAUGGAUGGGAUCCUAGUCUAAGCAAUAACCAGUGAAAGAUUGCAUUGCAGAUUAUAACUGCUAAUACCACUUCUCAUUGGGACUGGGACAAAAAGUGGGGUCCUACACAAGGACAGCUUCUGUUUUCCUGGGCUGUAUGUUCAAUUUGUGUCCAUUUGGAUUAGUGUAGAAUCUUCAUCCUUUUACAAAGUGUUGAAAAACCUGUUUUGAAGAGAAUUGUCACAGAGAUUGUAUUCUUUCCUUUUUCGCAAUCUUCAUUUGAAAAGAUAAUCUUAGUAGGGUUCCAAGUCUUAGUUCUGUCUCUGAUUUUUUAACAAUGCAUGACAGCCGCAAUCCUUAUGUCUAGUAAAAAAUUUAAUUUAAAUUUUGAGGAGAGAAAUGCAACAUUCAUGCAUCUUCCUUGGUGUCAAACUACAAUAAAAAACUUUUGCUCUGUCUUCAUAA